AGUGAACGCUGGCGGUAGGCCUAACACAUGCAAGUCUAACGGCAGCACAGUAAGAGCUUGCUCUUACGGGUGGCGAGUGGCGGACGGGUGAGGAAUACAUCGGAAUCUACUUUUUCGUGGGGGAUAACGUAGGGAAACUUACGCUACUACCGCAUACGACCUACGGGUGAAAGCAGGAGAUCUUCGGACCUUGCGCGAUUGAAUGAGCCGAUGUCGGAUUAGCUAGUUGGCGGGGUAAAGGCCCACCAAGGCGACGAUCCGUAGCUGGUCUGAGAGGAUGAUCAGCCACAAUGGAACUGAGACACGGUCCAGACUCCUACGGGAGGCAGCAGUGGGGAAUAUUGGACAAUGGGCGCAAGCCUGAUCCAGCCAUACCGCGUGGGUGAAGAAGGCCUUCAGGUUGUAAAGCCCUUUUGUUGGGAAAGAAAAGCAGCAGGUUAAUACCCCGCUGUUCUGACGGUACCCAAAGAAUAAGCACCGGCUAACUUCGUG
rnacentral:rRNA from 1 species